rnacentral:rRNA from 1 species
AGGAUGAACGCUGGCGGCAGGCCUAACACAUGCAAGUCGAACGCCCCGCAAGGGGAGUGGCAGACGGGUGAGUAACGCGUGGGAACAUACCUUUCGGUUCGGAAUAGCUCAGGGAAACUUGAAUUAAUACCGGAUACGUCCGCAAGGAGAAAGAUUUAUCGCCGAAAGAUUGGCCCGCGUCCGAUUAGCUAGUUGGUAAGGUAAUGGCUUACCAAGGCGACGAUCGGUAGCUGGUCUGAGAGGAUGAUCAGCCACACUGGGACUGAGACACGGCCCAGACUCCUACGGGAGGCAGCAGUGGGGGAUAUUGGACAAUGGGCGCAAGCCUGAUCCAGCCAUGCCGCGUGAGUGAUGAAGGCCCUAGGGUUGUAAAGCUCUUUCGUCAGGGACGAUAAUGACGGUACCUGAAGAGAAGCCCCGGCUAACUUCGCGCCAGCAGCCGC